UCCGGUUUUUCACCGGCAGUCCCAUUAGAGUGCUCACCAUAACGUGUUAGUAACUAACGCCGAGGGUUGCGCUCGUUGCGGGACUUAACCCAACAUCUCACGACACGAGCUGACGACAGCCAUGCAGCACCUGUGUUACGGUUCUCUUUCGAGCACUAAGCCAUCUCUGGCAAAUUCCGUACAUGUCAAAGGUGGGUAAGGUUUUUCGCGUUGCAUCGAAUUAAUCCACAUAAUCCACCGCUUGUGCGGGUCCCCGUCAAUUCCUUUGAGUUUAAGCCUUGCGGCCGUACUCCCCAGGCGGUCAACUUCACGCGUUAGCUUCGUUACCAAGGAAUUACUUCCCCGACAACUAGUUGACAUCGUUUAGGGCGUGGACUAC
rnacentral:misc_RNA from 1 species